rnacentral:rRNA from 1 species
GAGUUUGUGGUUCUGUGGGAGAUGAUUGAUGGUGUCGCUCUCAAUCAUGAUAGGAAGGACACUAUAUCUUGGAAAUUCACUUCCAGUGGCGACUAUUCAGCAGCUACGGCAUACACGGCGCAGUUCGAGGGCCAAGUUCUCAGCUCAACCUCUCCCACAAUCUGGAGGAAUUGGGCUCCCCCGAAAUGCAAAUUCUUCACUUGGCUUAUCAUCCAAAACCGUGUGUGGACGGCAGAUCGGUUACAGCGGUGA